rnacentral:rRNA from 1 species
AGCGGCCGAUAUCAGAUUAGGUAGUUGGUGGGGUAAAGGCCUACCAAGCCGACGAUCUGUAACUGGUCUGAGAGGACGACCAGUCACACUGGAACUGAGACACGGUCCAGACUCCUACGGGAGGCAGCAGUGGGGAAUUUUGGACAAUGGGCGCAAGCCUGAUCCAGCAAUGCCGCGUGCAGGAGAAGGCCUUCGGGUUGUAAACUGCUUUUGUACGGAACGAAAAAGCUCUUUCUAAUACAAGGAGUUGAUGACGGUACCGUAAGAAUAAGCACCGGCUAACUACGUGCCAGCAGCCGCGGUAAUACGUAGGGUGCGAGCGUUAAUCGGAAUUACUGGGCGUAAAGCGUGCGCAGGCGGUUUUGUAAGACAGAUGUGAAAUCCCCGGGCUUAACCUGGGACCUGCAUUUGUGACUGCAAGGCUGGAGUGUGGCAGAGGGGGAUGGAAUUCCGCGUGUAGCAGUGAAAUGCGUAGAUAUGCGGAGGAACACCGAUGGCGAAGGC